AGAGUUUGAUCAUGGCUCAGGAUGAACGCUAGCUACAGGCUUAACACAUGCAAGUCGAGGGGAAACGACAUCGAAAGCUUGUCUUUUGAUGGGCGUCGACCGGCGCACGGGUGAGUAACGCGUAUCCAACCUGCCCACCACGUUGGGGAUAACCUUGCGAAAGUAAGACUAAUACCCAAUGACGUCUCUAGAAGACAUCUGAAAGAGAUUAAAGAUUUAUCGGUGAUGGAUGGGGAUGCGUCUGAUUAGCUUGUUGGCGGGGUAACGGCCCACCAAGGCAACGAUCAGUAGGGGUUCUGAGAGGAAGGUCCCCCACAUUGGAACUGAGACACGGUCCAAACUCCUACGGGAGGCAGCA
rnacentral:rRNA from 1 species